UACGUAGGGUGCUAGCGUUAAUCGGAAUUACUGGGCGUAAAGCGUGCGCAGGCGGUUUUUCAAGUCUGAUGUGAAAGCCCCGGGCUUAACCUGGGAACUGCGUUGGAAACUGAAAGACUAGAGUGCGGCAGAGGGGGGUAGAAUUCCACGUGUAGCAGUGAAAUGCGUAGAUAUGUGGAGGAAUACCGAUGGCGAAGGCAGCCCCCUGGGUCGACACUGACGCUCAUGCACGAAAGCGUGGGGAGCAAACAGG
rnacentral:rRNA from 1 species